rnacentral:misc_RNA from 1 species
CAAGGCCAAAUCGGCAUCCAAAUAGAUACAACGAAGAAUAGAGGGAGACAUAACAGAUAGCCAAUUACAAGGAAGACUAUUCUUAUAGCACAAUUUUGCUAAAGAAUCAGCUAUCAUAUUUGCUUUCCUAUUCACUAGAGAAAAAUUGAUUUCCAAAAAAUUAGGAAUAAAAGAGCAAAUAUGAAUUACAGCUGCCUUCCAACUGUGAGGAUUUCUGACAG